CACUAGCCCUGAUAGAAGCGGCAUCCUUUUAUGGUGGGGUUCACCAUAAAAGAUAUAGCGAAUAGCAGGAAAUAGC
rnacentral:sRNA from 1 species